rnacentral:rRNA from 1 species
UAUGAACGCUGGCGGCGUGCCUAAUACAUGCAAGUCGAGCGAACGGACGAGAAGCUUGCUUUUCUGAUGUUAGCGGCGGACGGGUGAGUAACACGUGGAUAACCUACCUAUAAGACUGGGAUAACUUCGGGAAACCGGAGCUAAUACCGGAUAAUAUUUUGAACCGCAUGGUUCAAAAGUGAAAGACGGUCUUGCUGUCACUUAUAGAUGGAUCCGCGCUGCAUUAGCUAGUUGGUAAGGUAACGGCUUACCAAGGCAACGAUGCAUAGCCGACCUGAGAGGGUGAUCGGCCACACUGGAACUGAGACACGGUCCAGACUCCUACGGGAGGCAGCAGUAGGGAAUCUUCCGCAAUGGGCGAAAGCCUGACGGAGCAACGCCGCGUGAGUGAUGAAGGUCUUCGGAUCGUAAAACUCUGUUAUUAGGGAAGAACAUAUGUGUAAGUAACUGUGCACAUCUUGACGGUACCUAAUCAGAAAGCCACGGCUAACUACGUG